GAUUACCUCUUAGUCCCACAUCGAUGCUUCAUUCCGAUCCGGACGAGCGAUAGCCUGAUCGGGCCGCUGUUCUGGUGGUUUUUUUGGGCGUCCGAGAUUCAAUUGGGCCUACUGGGCCUAUACCAGGCUCCCGUGCUGCAAAAAAGGUAAAACCUAAAACACUCGAUGCCCCGUGAGUCACUCACGACCCCUGCUCUCUCGUUCGCUCGCAGCCUCGCCUGGCGGUGUCUCUCCAUGUUCUUCCUUCACGACCUUUCCUCUCUCUCUCAACCUGCGGACGCAAACCUCGAUCUGCAGUAUCCUUCUCUAGAUCUCGACUUUCAGCGGCGGCAACCAUCGCAAGGGUCGCUCAACCCCUCCCACUAGCAGAUCCUAGGAAUCCUCUCCAAGCACGACCUCAACCUAUUACAGACCUAUGUCCGCCGCCAGCACGGGCUCAUCCAGCGGACCAGAAGGACACCAAGAAGAGCGCGCCUUCCGGCACGCGGUGCGUCCUGGUCGCCCACCGUGGCGUUCGCCUCAGCACUGGCAUAUGGAAGGCUUCUUGUGCAAAGAAGGCACUUGGGAUGGUGUUGCAUAUCGAUCCAGGGAACAAUGCCAUACAAGAUGAAGCUGUCACUCUUACUGUUUUAUUUACAAGAAGUCAUCUUCAUUGCUGCUCCCAACAUCUUAGGCUUAGCAACACAAUUGCCAAUUGGCCAAAAGCAACUCUUAUUAAUACGCCAAAAUUCGCACCUUUAAUGAUCACACCUUGCUUGUUUCCUUUCAGUAGAUGAAAGGCAAAGUCAAGUAACCUUCCAUGAGUGCUUUUUGUCGGGUAAAGAAGCAGAAACAAUCGGAUGACAAGAGGUACAAGACGAGUGAUGAUUAGAGAAAGAGGGUGUUGGAGAAACCAAAGAUGGAUCAAGGAUGGCAACUAGCAAAAAGGCACUUAAAUAUGGGUUAAUUUAU